AAUGAACGUUGGCGGCAUGGAUUAGGCAUGCAAGUCGAGCGAGAAGGGUUUUGAAGCUUGCUUUAGAACCCGGACAGCGGCGAAAGGGAGAGUAACGCGUAGUUAUGUGCCCUAGGGUCCGGAAUAGCCACGGGAAACUGUGGGUAAUGCCGGAUAACAUCCCCGGAUCAAAGGUGUGAUUCCGCCCUAGGAGCAGACUGCGUCCUACUAGCUAGUUGGUGGGGUAAUGGCCCACCAAGGCAAUGAUGGGUAGCGGGUGUGAGAGCAUGACCCGUCUCACUGGGACUGAGACACUGCCCAGACACCUACGGGUGGCUGCAGUCGAGAAUCUUCGGCAAUGGGCGAAAGCCUGACCGAGCGAUGCCGCGUGCGGGAUGAAGGCCCUCGGGUUGUAAACCGCUGUCGUAGGGGAGGAAGGUUCCGUGAAGAGCGGAAUUUGACCUAUCCUAGGAGGAAGUACGGGCUAAGUUCGUGCCAGCAGCCGCAGUAAGAC
rnacentral:rRNA from 1 species